AACGAACGCUGGCGGCAUGCCUAACACAUGCAAGUCGAACGAGACCUUCGGGUCUAGUGGCGCACGGGUGCGUAACGCGUGGGAACCUGCCUUUAGGUUCGGAAUAACUCAGAGAAAUUUGAGCUAAUACCGGAUGAUGUCUUCGGACCAAAGAUUUAUCGCCUUUGGAUGGGCCCGCGUUGGUUUAGCUAGUUGGGGGGGUAAAGGCCUACCAAGGCGACGAUCCAUAGCUGGUCUGAGAGGAUGAUCAGCCACACUGGGACUGAGACACGGCCCAGACUCCUACGGGAGGCAGCAGUGGGGAAUAUUGGACAAUGGGCGAAAGCCUGAUCCAGCAAUGCCGCGUGAGUGAUGAAGGCCUUAGGGUUGUAAAGCUCUUUUACCCGAGAUGAUAAUGACAGUAUCGGGAGAAUAAGCUCCGGCUAACUCCGUG
rnacentral:rRNA from 1 species